AGUUGCAUUACAGGGUGAGUUCUCCAUUGGCAGGUAGCUAGCCACUAUGAAUCAUCAUUAGUGUGCAAUCUGCCAAAGGAGAUUUGCCCAGUAAUUCUGCU
rnacentral:pre_miRNA from 1 species